rnacentral:lncRNA from 1 species
UAUUAAGGUAAAAUGACAUGGAAGUUUAAAAUAGUUUGAUUGGUUGAUUUUUUGAGCUGAGGUGGCAUGCUUUUCUGUUGAGUAUAUCUCCCUUUUAGUAUUGUUAAACGAAUCUAAAAGGUAGACAUCACAAUUUAUGGAACAUAUAGUAAUAAAAAAAGUUACGUGAAAGUAGACGAUGAGUCAAAACAUUUAUUUUGGUUAAUACCAUAAAUUUUAAUUUUUGUAUUAAGGUAAAAUGACAUGGAAGUUUAAAAUAGUUUGAUUGGUUGAUUUUUUGAGCUGAGGUGGUAUGCUUCUCUGUUGACUAUAUCUCUAUUUUAGUAUUGUUAGAUACUUCUUUCUAUCGAAUAUAUAAUUACUGUACACCUAAUGAACGUAUAUAUUAUAUGCACUGCCUGCAUUCAAUGUAUCUUCAAAUAGCUAUCUCUUUGUGCGAAUCUAUAUGUCUAUUAUUAUAAAAGAAUGUUUUGCUCUAUCCUCCUUGUGCCACCUAGGAUUUCACCUAGGAAAUUCGAGCUCUGGAGUUGCGACACGUGUACACA